rnacentral:rRNA from 1 species
UACGAACCGUGCGAACGUUGUUCGGAAUCACUGGGCUUAAAGGGCGCGUAGGCGGUUGAUCAAGUCUGGGGUGAAAUCUUUCGGCUUAACCGGAAAAGUGCCUUGGAUACUGGUCAGCUGGAGGGAGGUAGGGGCAGUUGGAACUUCCAGUGGAGCGGUGAAAUGCGUUGAUAUUGGAAGGAACGCCGGUGGCGAAAGCGAGCUGCUGGACCUCUUCUGACGCUGAUGCGCGAAAGCUAGGGGAGCAAACGGG